AGAACAAUCAGUUAAAGUUUUGUUUUAAUUAAAAUGGAAUCUAUGCAGUAGCUUCACACAACACUAACUUUUUUACCCUGGGGUCACAAAUUACUUUUCAAUGACAAUGCCUAAGAGACUGAGGGUAGACUUUAAGGAUGAUAACCUCCCCUCCUAUCUCAGAAGGAGUUAAUAUAGAAGGAGUUAAUAUAUAUUCUCCGAAAAGCCUACUUAUAUAGUUAAACCUUCUCCUACAUCUUAUAACUUAGAUUUCAGAAGGUCCCCACUAUUUCCAGAACUGAUAAGCUCAUGAUGUCUAAACUGCUUCUGCAAACCCUGAUUUAUGCUGAACACUACUCCACAUCCAGAGACUUGAAUUUUUGUAUGUGUCUAUCAGAAGCUGCUUACAUAGCCAGACCUCAACAGAAAUCCUGGGAACUGAGUCUUUCAUGAGCUUCCCUGAUUGUCAACAUUUCACAAAUAUUGUCAAAACACAUUCCUGGGGGUGGGGGGUUAGUAAAUAUGCCUUAUGUGAUUCCAUUGGAAGAGAAACCUUAGAAACUUGUCCUUCUUUUUCCAGGACUCUAUCCCAUCCCAUGUAUGCUGUUUCCCUUCAGUGAGUUUUCUUUAUAUCCAUUUGGCACCACAAUUCUUAGGCAUGAGUAAGCCAAUAUGCCCAGUUCACCUAAUGAAUGAUCACACUGGAGGUGGUGUUGGUAACCCCCAACACACCUUCAAACCACCUCCUUACCUCCUCAAUACUUUUCUUUUUAACCCCAUCUAAGCUUGCAUCUUUUCUCUAUUCUUUCUUUGUACUUAUUUUUCAUCUCCCCCUUUAUUUUUUCCACUCCAUAGAAGACAGAAUCUGCUGGCUACAUGAUUCUUGGCAUUUGAUUCCUUAACAUAUCCAAUCAUAUAUUCACCUCUAGAAAUUUACUUAUUCCUUCAGUAAGUACUUAGCAGUAUUUCAUUGCAUGUUGAGUUUUAUAAAACAAGCUAGAGAGAAAGUCUGAUUGAGUCCUCC
rnacentral:lncRNA from 1 species